ACUGCGCGCUGAACAGAGCCCGCGUUUCCUCAGAGCUGGAACUCCCGGCUCGGGCGGCGUCUCUUCCCUCCGCCUUCACGGAACUGCCCCGGAGCCCGAGGGGAGGGCGACCUCACUGAGGCUGCCGGCUCUGGAGGUGCCCCGGCGGCCGAAGCCAUGACAGUCGCGGGGACGGCGGGCCGGUUGUUUCAACAAGUAACUUAAAGACAAAAUGGAAAAACAAGGAGGUUUGUGCCUGAGAUCAUGUUGAUGUGAAACCAGGGAUGGCCACCUUGUGCCAGUGGUUUGCACCAUGUGUUUUUCUGGCUUCCCUUCACAAGUUCCCUGAAAUCUGGACCUCGAAGGCCACCUUUAUUCACACAAAGAAAGGAUUCUUCCAUUUGAAGGUUAACAUGUCAGAGGUUACUUUAUUCAAGUGGGCUUUUCCACACUUUAUUAUGAUGAAACUGGAAGAAACAUGGCCUCCUUUAAGAAAAGGAAGCAUUUGAAGAAACUAUCAUGAAUUUUAAAAUGUAUUAUGGGAUAAAUUUGAUAAUAAAAAAAAAAGUAUUAUGGGGCUUCCCUGGUGGCGCAGUGGUUAAGAAUCCACCUGCCAGUGCAGGGGGACACGAGUUUGAGCCCUGGUCAGGGAAAAUCCCACAUGCCGCGAAGCAACUAAGCCUUUGCGCCACAACUACUGACCCCGCGUGCCACACUACUGAAGCUCGCUCGCCUAGCGCGUGUGCUCUGCAACAAGAGGAGCCACCGCAGUGAGAAGCCUGCGCACCGCAACGAAGAGUAGCCCCCACUCGCCGCAACUAGAGAAAGCCUGCGCACAGCAACGAAGACCCAACACAGCCAAAAAUAAAUAAAAAAAUAAAUAAAUUUAUUUUAAAAAUAAAUAAAUGAAAUGUAUUAUGAAUAGUAAUUUUUGUACGCAUUGUGUAUAUUUUGAGAGAUAUGUGUGUUCUAAUGUCCUUUUACUUCUGGCCUUGUCUAUAGAUAAGAAUUAUUCUGAUCACUUGACACACUGUUAUAAUGUUGAUCCAGGAAAUUGUUAUGUACCACUGCAAUCACCUUAAAGACUGUUUCCAUUCACUUCCUAAAUUCCAUGAUUUAUUUUUCUAAAUGUAGAUCUCAAAGGAAAUAUGUACUUGCAGGAAGACCACACCCAAAACAAUCCACGAUAUGAAAAAGGAGAUAUUUUGUAUCAUUUUCCCAAAGAUUAUAUUUUUUUCUUCUAUGCUAAAGCAAUAAUAAAGUAACAUCAGUUUGGUGCAAUAA